rnacentral:rRNA from 1 species
CACGUAGGAGGCAAACGUUAUCCGGAUUUACUGGGCGUAAAGCGCGUGUAGGUGGUUCUGUAAGUAGGGCGUGAAAGCUCCCGGCUCAACUGGGAGAGGCCGUUCUAAACUGCAGAGCUAGAGGAUGGUAGAGGGAGGUGGAAUUCCAGGUGUAGCGGUGGAAUGCGCAGAUAUCUGGAGGAACACCAGUGGCGAAGGCGGCCUCCUGGACCAUUCCUGACACUCAGACGCGAAAGCUAGGGUAGCAAACGGGAUUAGAUACCCGGGUAGUCCCUGA